CGUCGUUUAAGUAUACACAGUAAUAACAUACUAUGAAAGCAAUAUAUAUUUUCAUUGUCAGUAUCGUGGCAAACCUUGGUGAUAUUUAUGAAUUGAUAGUCCUCAAAAUAGAACAUUGGUCAUUCAAAGUCCACGCGGUCAACUCAAAACACUUAGUGAAGUAUGCAUCAUAAACAAACAUGUUUCGCUGUGUCUAUAAUAUUAGUAUUAUUAUCAUUUCUU